UACGUAGGGUGCAAGCGUUGUCCGGAAUUAUUGGGCGUAAAGAGCUCGUAGGCGGUUUGUUGCGUCGGCUGUGAAAUCCCGAGGCUCAACCUCGGGUCUGCAGUCGAUACGAGCAAACUAGAGUGUUGCAGGGGAGACUGGAAUUCCUGGUGUAGCGGUGAAAUGCGCAGAUAUCAGGAGGAACACCGGUGGCGAAGGCGGGUCUCUGGGCAGCAACUGACGCUGAGGAGCGAAGGCGUGGGGAGCGAACAGG
rnacentral:rRNA from 1 species